AGUGGGGGGUAACGUAGCGAAAGUUACGCUAAUACCGCUAUAUUCUGUGAGCAGGAAAGCAGGGGAUCGCAAGACCUUGCGCUCUUUGAGCGGCCGAUGUCAGAUUAGCUAGUUGGUGAGGUAACGGCUUACCAAGGCGACGGAUCUGUAGCGGGUCUGAGAGGAUGAUCCGCCACACUGGAACUGAGACACGGUCCAGACUCCUACGGGAGGCAGCAGUGGGGAAUUUUGGACAAUGGGGGCAACCCUGAUCCAGCCAUGCCGCGUGAGUGAAGAAGGCCUUCGGGUUGUAAAGCUCUUUCGGCCGGGAAGAAAUCGCAUGGGUUAAUACCCUGUGUGGAUGACGGUACCGGCAUAAGAAGCACCGGCUAACUACGUG
rnacentral:rRNA from 1 species